CCCUGCAACGCCACUUGUGCCAAACUGUAUCAGUCUCUGCCGUUCCUUUGGAUUCAUCAGAUGCGUGAAGAUGGUGAGCCCACUACAUGGGCAACAACUUGCUCUCCAUCACACGAGGAAAUCUGCAGAUGCUGGAAUUUCAAGCAACACACAUUAAGGUUGCUGGUGAACGCAGCAGGCCAGGCAGCAUCUCCAGGAAGAGAUUCAGCACAUCCUGAUUGGACAGCAGCUCAGAAGCCGUAGAAGCAUUGCCACGCGGGUAAGGGACGAAGCUUAAAAAAGUAGGCGGGUUUCAGCGGGACUCUUUGAUUGGACAGCAGUGCAGAUGUAGUAGAAACGUUCCCGUGCAGGUCCGGAGGGACAGUUGAAAAACCCAGUCUCCAUAAAAGAGAAGUAUCAUCUAGCUGAGAGGUCAUCGUGGGAGUGGUCUGAGUCAGAGUGGUAAGGCUUUGGCUCCACAGGCGGAGGUGAGGUAAGAAGGAAUGGGACCUGCUCUCAGGGCCUCAGGACCGGCUGCUUUUUGAUAUCCUAAGGAUGUGGCCUGGAAGACUAGCGCGCCUUCAGGGUGCCAGAUUUUCGUGGCUCUGGAGACGAGCUGAUUCAAGGCCAGUGCCCCUGACUGAGGCAUCGCAGGAGAGCACGGAACGUUAGGAGCAGCAGGUCAGCUACUGUGGGCCGUGUGUCCAGAGACCUGAGCUCUCCGGGCACAGAGAAAAAAACGAAUGCAACAGACUCUUAACAUCAUAAAUCAGCGAGUUGCUUCUUAUGUCUCCCCUCUCACUGUGAAAUGGGGACAUCUCUUUCCUUAUUAGGGACACAGAGAGAGAGAGCCUGUGGUCUGUCAAAUUACCAGGUGAACAAGUAGUCUUUGGAGUACUGCAAAUCUGUGUCUUUACUGAUG